rnacentral:rRNA from 1 species
AACGAACGCUGGCGGCAUGCCUAACACAUGCAAGUCGAACGAGACCUCCGGGCCUAGUGGCGCACGGGUGCGUAACGCGUGGGAACCUGCCCUUAGGUUCGGAAUAACUCCCCGAAAGGGGUGCUAAUACCGGAUAAUGUCUUCGGACCAAAGAUUUAUCGCUUUUGGAUGGGCCCGCGUUGGAUUAGCCAGUUGGUAGGGUAAAAGCCUACCAAGGCGACGUUCCAUAGCUGGUCGGGGAAGAUGAUCAACCAGACUGGGACUGAGACACGGCCCAGUCUCCUACGGGGGGGAGCAGAAGAGAGUAUUAGACGAUGGACGCAAACCUAGUCCAGCAGUGCCGCGUGUGUGAUGAAGGGGUUAGGGUUGUAAAGCUCUUUUACACGGGAUGAUAAUGACAGUACCGGGUGAAUAAGCUCCGGCUAACUCCGUG